GAGAGCCGCGUGCGCAGGCGCGCCGGGGCGGAGGCCGCCGCAGGCCGCGUUGUCGAGCCCUGUGGAGGGCGUCGUGAGGGGCGGGGCUGACUUAAAGUUGUGAAGAAGGCCCGCCGCCUCCCCAAGUCUCGCGUGAUCACGUGGUCGGCACCCAGGCGGAAGUCUCGGGCAGCUGCUUCGGGAUAGUGAAGUAAAGUGAGGUGGUUCAGUCGUGUCCGCAUCUUUGCGACCCUGUGGACUGUAAGCCCACCAGGCGCCUCACUCCGUGGGAUUUUCCGGGCAAGAAUACUGGAGUGGGUAGCCAUUUCCUUCUCCCUUCGGGAGAUUCCUUCUCCCUUCGGGAGAUAGGGGCUCGCUAACCGUUGCCGGAGAAAAGGCGUGAGUGCUGGUAACUCUGGAGUCCAGAGCUAGCUGGGGGACCGCCUCCUGAGGGGUGUCUAUACGCCGUCCGGCGCUGGAGGGGCUCGAAGAUGUGGAAGGGGCAGUGGCGGUCGCCCCAUUAGGCCUGGCCGCGGAGGAGAGCCGGUCACGUGCCCCACCCCGUCGCCCGCGCGCGCUCGGACCGUGGGCAGAGGUUCAAAUGCGGAGUCAUCUCUGAAGAGGAGCUCAGCUCAGAUACCACUUUCGGAGGCGUGGGCACCUCUCGCCUGGCCUGGGUCUUUAGCUUGCAGAAUUGUACCGAGUUCCUAAAAGCUGAUUUGCCACACCACCCCCCUCCCCACUUUAACACAUUCCAGAAUCAACGACACCUGAAGCCAGAUGCGUUGUCUCCGCGGGUACAUCCACGAAGCCUCUGGGUUUCAAGUUUCCCAAAGGUCCGGCCUCUACUAUCCCACGUACUUUAAAUGACUUUUCAAGGCAGUGGAAAAAGCCACCCCCUCCCUCUCCAACCCGAAACGGAUCACCGAGAUUAUGACUGCACAAGUCCCACCGGUUUUUAAAAACGUUGCCCCAGUUCAGUGACUCCACGUGGCCAAGGGAAUUUCCAGAGACGGAAUGUGGUCUGGACAAAUGAGGGAGUUUAUCUUCAAAAGGCAAAGCAAAACAAAAUGUCAAAGUUACAUAGUCUCAAGCCAUAUUGGAGGACCAUCACUUGCUUCUCAGUUCCCUGCAGAGUUGCUUGUUUGGGAGCAUCAAAA